GACGAACGCUGGCGGCGUGCUUAACACAUGCAAGUCGAACGGAAAGGCCCUGCUUUUGUGGGGUGCUCGAGUGGCGAACGGGUGAGUAACACGUGAGUAACCUGCCCUUGACUUUGGGAUAACUUCAGGAAACUGGGGCUAAUAUCGGAUAGGAGCUCCUGCUGCAUGGUGGGGGUUGGAAAGUCUCGGCGGUUGGGGAUGGACUCGCGGCUUAUGAGCUAGUUGGUGGGGUAGUGGCCUACCAAGGGGUGGAAUGGUAGCCGGCGGGAGAGGGUGGUCGGCCACAUGGGAGGUGAGACAGGGUCAAUGGGCCUGCGGGACGCAGCAGUGGGGAAUAGGGGGCAAUGGGGGGGAAUCUUGCACAAUGGGCGCGAGCGUGAGGCAGCAACGCCGCGUGCGUGAUGACGGCCUUCGGGUUGUGAACCGCUGUCGCUUGUGACGGAGCGUGAGUGACGGUAAUGGGUAAAGAAGCACCGGCUAACUACGUG
rnacentral:rRNA from 1 species